CUCAUUCAUUCCUCUUCCAAAGACUUGCUGAGCACCUUCUAGGUGCCAGAUGCGGUGCUGGCUCCUGGGGACAUGGGAGUGAACAGGCCAGGCGUGGCCCUGAACCAUCAAAUAGACAACCACAGAAAUAACAACAACAAAGACAAAACCGGGCCCUUCCACACAGUAGCUGGAACACAAAGGAAGAUCAGCCAAGCCUCAACAUAAUCUCAUAAAAAUUCUUCAAAUAUCCCAUUGUUAUGGAUUCAUACAUCAGGAAAGCAGAUGCCAAGAACCUGAACACCUUCUACUGGUAACAUAUAUUUUGGCGAGCCAGCCUGGAGACAAGACCACUAUGGGCAACUUCCUGUCUAUUCUACCUGGUGUCACUGUGGACAACUUCCUAUCUAUUCCACCCGAUUCACCGCUUGGCUACAUCCUCCACCAUUGGGAUGAAUUUGACCCUAACAAUCUAAAGAAAAGGCAUAUGAUUUUUUACUGCAA
rnacentral:lncRNA from 10 species